rnacentral:rRNA from 1 species
GACGAACGCUGGCGGCGUGCUUAACACAUGCAAGUCGAACGAGAAUCUGUGGAAAGAGGAUUCGUCCAAUUGAAGCAGAGGACAGUGGCGGACGGGUGAGUAACGCGUGAGGAACCUGCCUUUCAGAGGGGGACAACAGUUGGAAACGACUGCUAAUACCGCAUAACAUAUAGAUGUCGCAUGGCAUUUAUAUCAAAGAUUUAUCGCUGAAAGAUGGCCUCGCGUCUGAUUAGCUAGUUGGUGAGGUAACGGCCCACCAAGGCGACGAUCAGUAGCCGGACUGAGAGGUUGAACGGCCACAUUGGGACUGAGAUACGGCCCAGACUCCUACGGGAGGCAGCAGUGGGGAAUAUUGGGCAAUGGGCGCAAGCCUGACCCAGCAACGCCGCGUGAAGGAAGAAGGCUUUCGGGUUGUAAACUUCUUUUGUCUAGGGACGAGUAGAAGACGGUACCUGACGAAUAAGCCACGGCUAACUACGUGCCAGCAGCCGACGG